AAAACUCUUGAGGAAAUGUCACAGUUAAUAAACGCACCGCACAGGAAUAUUCUGUGCGUUUUCGGACAUGUUGGAAUAUAUGUCGGUGUGUGCAUCUUAUGGACGGAAAGAUGAAUGAAUGGCGUAAACUGGGAUGAAGUGUCAAGAAGACAACUGGUGAUGCCACACCCACUAGAUUUUGAGGGUGAGGAGGUCAGUUCCAUUGAAGAACAUUUUGGAUUGAACAAGGUUUCAUUUUUGUCACAAGCCAACGUGUGGCAAGAAGAAUGAGCUCCCAGCUUCUUUCAAGAACUCUUUGAGUCGUAAAAUCUCACCUGUGUUCCUUACCGUCUGCGCUUGUAGCAGCAUGAGGCGAUGGCGAUACAAGAUGGGUGCAGCGCCAAGGCACAAUGGAUGAACUUCCAGCGAUACACGUUUAGUAUAAUGUCAGACUUCUACAUCUCGACCCUGGCAGAUGAAUUAGUUUCAUUAAUGGUAUACGGCGGCGACUUUACGAAGUUUGGCGGUAAAAAGUGUAGCUGUCGUGGUGUUGAAAAUCAGAUCAAUUUGAGGUGAGUAUUAAUGGAGAUAGCUGUUUUUUUAUUUACUUCAAGUAAUAAUGGACUUGCUUCUUAUUAUUGACACAAAUGAUGAGAGUAAGAAGGCCGAGAGUUAAUGGAGGACAUUUUGAAUGUUUGCUAUGAAAUUUACAAUCCAAGUUCAAGGAGAAAGUGAUACUGUGUUGUAAAUUUCUGAAAGAAAUUAGGACUGUAUCUUUAAAAGGAGCCUUCCCAGACCUUUGUCCAUGUGAAGUUUCUUCAGUUUCGGUGUAUAAACGUCACAUGCACAUUUGUACCGCACCUUCAGCUUACAUUCUUUACAUAGAAGGGUAUUAAAUGUGCAAGUGUUUCUCAUAACAGCUAAGUUAGUUUUCAAAGAAAUUCUUAGCGGUGCAUGGAAAAUAAAUCAGGUCGUACUUUUCUGUCUUUUCGUGGCACAGUUGGCACUGGAAGAUUGAAAAUUAAAUGAAUCUAAAGGUGCAAAAUAAGGCAUCAGCUACACUAACAGCAGUUUCUAGAAUUUCAGGAAGUCUGGUCUUUUACAAAGUUCAUGCAUUGCUUCUUGUAAUACAGACUCGUGCAGUUGUGGUUCUCGGAAGUCUGAGGUUAUAUUUACUGUAGCCUUCGUAGUGAGUGGACGUGUCUUGCUAGUGCUCCGUGCUGUGUGUUUAAAACGUGGUGCAGUUGUAAAGGAAUCUGCUACCUGCAGCCUUCCGGCGCAAUGACGGCUAGCAGGGAUACUUGUGAGAUGUGCAAGAAGGCUUUCUACGGAAAGCAGAAACAUAUUAGAUGUUGUGGGCCGUGUGCUUCGCGUUUUCAUGUCACUUGCUUGAAAAUGAGUGAGGUGGAGUAUUCAUUCCUUUUGUCUGAUGGUGUUUCCACCUACAAGUGCGCAAAGUGUGUAAAGGCACUUCGAGGCGUUAGUGGUGUAAACACGCCGCCAAUGAACUCGCGUUCUGCCUCUGCCUCGGAGCUUGCUAAGAAGGUAGUGUCUCCUGUAAAGGAACCGAUCCUGCCAGACGGGGAUUACGACUCUCUCGCUGGUAAGCUGGAGAUGGUGAAACUCAAUGGAGCUAGCACUCACAAUCUUGUAGAAAACUUGGUGCAGUUGGUCCUCAAACUUUCUGAGGAUGUGCAGCAGCUCCGCAAAGAUAAUGAAUAUUUGAAGGAGCAGUACUGCCUGUGCUCCUUUACACGUUGCGGAAAGUAAUUCAUCAAGCCAGGGAUCUUCAACCACUCUGUCGCGCAAAGUUCCUGUACCAUCCGACAACUCUACUUCGGCCUGUGCUGCUGACGUGGGCGUUAAGUCCUACAAGGACGUCACGCUCACGGAUUUACAAUCUACGGAGACUCCAACGCAGGUGGACACCGAGGGCUUUAUAAUGGUGAACCGUAAAAGGAAGCCCAACCCCGGUACCCGGGUGGUCAACACUACAAAGCAACGUAGACAGCCCUUAAUUGGGGUCCAAAACUCUCUAAGAAAGAGAGGUCUAUGGCCCUGUUCGUUUCACGGUUUAGUCCUGAGGUCACAACUUCAGAUAUUGAGACUUCAUUAAAGGAGCAAUUACACCUUAAGAAUUUGUUGUGCACCAGGCUAAAAAAAAUUUAGCAGUUAUUCUUCCUUUCAUGUUUCUGUCAACGAAGAUGAGUUUCCAUUAAUUAAUAAUACUGGUGUGUGGCCAAAUGGGUGCCUUAUUGCUCCUUUUUGCGGCAGACUUACUUCUGAGCAGGUUUACUCCUCGAGCGCGCCUGUCAGGUCAAUGGAGUCAGAUGCUGUGCCUACGGCCAGUGCGGCUCCUAGGCCUGGAGGCAGCUCAGAUUCCCACAGACUUGAAACUAUAUUGUGAUAUUAAAUCUGUGGAUGACUGCAGAGCUCUUCAAGCAGAUAUCGAUUCCGUACAUGAGUGGAAUAUGGAACUUAACAUAGAUAAAACCAAAAUUAUAUCGUUCACACGUAAAACCGACAGUAUGCAUUUUAAUUACAUUGUUAUAGUCUCUGUUCAUUAUCUUCCGAUACGUCGCUAAGUCCUUGAAAAAUGAGAGGUAUAACUCAUCGCUAUUGUUUUAUAAUUUUUAUAAAUAAAUCUAUUUUAUUUUUCUGUAUUAAAUGAGUUUCAUUUAAAAUUUACAAUUAAAAGCUGACUUCGUAUGCAUUUCACUUUAUACCCAGUAGUAUUUAAUUGUAGCUUAUUAACCUUUAUUAAAUGUGCGCCACUGCCUUUAUACAGUCAGAUUAUCCGUUUAUUGAAGUAGCAUAACGUUGAAUCAGUAAACCCUGUUGUGAGGUCGAGCUGAAAAGCCCUUUUUUUUUACGAGGGUUUGAAUCCCUUUUCUAACAUGAUACAGGGAAGUACAAACAAGUCACCUCAUUAGGUGGGUUUAUGAUGUUGGUGUAUUAAUAUCUGGAUUACUGAGUUUUUGGACUUUUGCAUCAUCUGGUAUUCUAAAAAAUACAUUUUGAAAAUGGGAUCUCGCAUUGCCCCUCUUCCCUAAAACUGAGGGUAAUAAAAGAUCUAGUUUUUGAAAUGUUAUGUUCUUUUCAAUACCAGAUGAUGGUUAAGUCCAAAAUACUUAGUAAUCCAGAAAAACUCUGAUCAUUCAAAUGUUUGUUGUCAAGUCACAGAAUUUAUUCAUAGUGUAAUAAAUCUGUCAUCUUUGGUACGGUUUGAUCUCUGACGUUCGUGAGUUGUGCAGGCUGUGUCAGAGUGGCACUUGAAUUAUCAGAUUGAGGGGAGAGUAAUAAUUUAGUCUUACUGAAUGAAGAUCUGAAGAAGUCAAGGUAAAAUUGGAAAAAAAAAUUCUGUAUGCCUACACCCACAAAUGUAUAUCUAUAUAAUUAAAAUGCUCAGAAGUCUGUUCAUAUGAAUUAUGGAUUAAAAUAUUCUGAUCUACAUGAAAAUUGAAAUACCUCAACAGUCUCAUAAAACUUUUCAGUAUUACAUAUCGAAAUCAGUUCCUUGCAAAGAUGGCGCCCCAUCAAGUUGAAGAUAGGGCCACGGCUUCAUCUACCUUUCAGGAGCACCCCAUCUACAGCCUCAGUGGACUCCGAAUGGACAGAUAGAUGGCAGAACACACUUUAAUAAAUGGAUGUAACUCUGAGCAGUGGGAUAACAGGGAGCUACAUCACCGACGGUCAGAAUUUUGGCAAGUUGGACCAGGCUAGAGGGACUUCUAUUCUUGCCGAGGCAGGAAGAAGCCUACUUUGAGGAGUCAACGCUCCAGAGGAAUCCUUAAGGCGCCGAGGUACCUGGAGAAGACUACUGGAGCCAAGUCCGUGGGCGAGAGGCUAUCAUCAGCGACCCGAGUUGCAGCCCGAGGGACAACCCGAGGUGACCAGGCGAUAGCAGCACCUGACGCGAAAGGAGAUAUACCCUGAGGGGAGCUAACGUGGCCAUCACUGGACCUCCGAACUUCAGGGCCUUCAUUUACCCAACUCUUCUAACUUUCCAGGUAGCAAAAAAUGAAGCUACUUAAAUUGUGGUCAAUGAUAUUGAUCAGCACAUGGUGUUGGGUACAGUUCCAAGCACAGGAAGUACAAGAAAUUCAGUCUAAAACAGGCAUAUAUUUUGAUGAAGUAGGUACAUUGUUAUUCUAUCCUAUGAGAUGGAAAGUAGUUACUUAUAUUAAUCUAGAACCAGUCAGAUAAUUGUGGAAACAAACCAAGGACCAUCAACGUAGAGUUACAGAAUUUUGUUUUAAGUCCAUAAUAAAAAUUGGUAUCAUUUAACAGA